rnacentral:rRNA from 1 species
UGGGGAAUAUUGCACAAUGGGCGAAAGCCUGAUGCAGCAACGCCGCGUGAGUGAUGAAGGCCUUCGGGUUGUAAAGCUCUGUCUUCUGGGACGAUAAUGACGGUACCAGAGGAGGAAGCCACGGCUAACUACGUGCCAGCAGCCGCGGUAAUACGUAGGUGGCAAGCGUUGUCCGGAUUUACUGGGCGUAAAGGAUGCGUAGGCGGAUACUUAAGUCAGAUGUGAAAAUCCCGGGCUUAACUUGGGAACUGCAUUUGAAACUGGGUAUCUAGAGUGCGGGAGAGNAAAGUGGAAUUCCUAGUGUAGCGGUGAAAUGCGUAGAUAUUAGGAGGAACACCAGUGGCGAAGGCGACUUACUGGACUGUAACUGACGCUGAGGCGCGAAAGCGUGGGGAGCAAACA